AGGGCAGAGCCCUUCCUGCUGAGUUUCUACUCAGGCUGACUUCCUGCUCUCAGCUGUGGGCCACAGAAGUCUGGAAGCCUGAGCAGAGACCAAGAGAGCACAGUUCACUGUCUCAGGCUCCAGGCAAGUGCUGGAAGGAAGGAAACAGUAUCAAAAAUGAACAAAAGAGGAACUACUGAGACAACAGACAUUAAUGACAACUUGCUCACAGAUGCUGCCAAUGGUUUGUGAGGAGGAGGCAAAGGCAAUGCACUUCUCUGCCAGUAGCAAAUGAGAUGAGGAUGUCCACAAAUCACGAGAACACAGAGACAUUUUUCAUUAAGCCUCUAUUUCUGCACUUCCAAAAACAAAAAGUGGCGAUUUCACAUGCAAUUAAAAAGCCAUUUCCUUUUCUUGAGGGCCUCCGUGACCAAAAUCUCAUCACAAAUAAAAUGUAUCACGAUUUUCAAGAGUCUUUUAGAAACCUGGUCCCUGUACAAAGAGUGAUCUACGGAACCCUGGAAGAACUGGGGAAGAUAUUUGACAUGAAGGUUCUGCAGGAAUUGUUCUGUAAGGUCAACAUGGAGAAUUACCCUGAUUUGGAACCCAUUUCCAAAAGUUUUAAUAAUGUAUUACUGAAUGCAUUGUGUUCCCAAGGAAAUGACAAAGGAGACCUGAACCCCGAGCUAAGUCUCAAACAAGGACUUAGUAACAGCUGUUCUCAAGGAAGCCUGACCUGGUCACCCAUGGAUACCUAUUCGUCUGAUGGAGCAGCGCCAUCCACAAGUGAAAAGACAUGGUCCUGUGUCAUGGGUUCCCCAACAUAUAUGGCAGAAGACCAGGAACCAAGGAUGGGAAGCAGCCAAGAAGAAGCUGUGGACACUAGGAACAACAUUACUGUAGGGGAAUCCAGGAAGAGGAGAGGUGGCAGCAGAGCUGGUGGCCAGGCAGCUACCAGGAGAAAGAGAAGGACUCCAGCACGCCCUGCCCAGACCAGGGGUGGCAGCAGAGCUGGUGGCCAGGCAGCUACCAGGAGAAAGAAAAGGAAAAGGACUCCAGGACGCUCUACCAAGUCCAGGGUCCCAAGAAUAUCCCGUACUGAAGCUUUGUGUUUCAACGCUGACCAGCUUCCUGUGAGGUGUGGUGGUGCAGAAGGGGUGUUAUAUAAGAAGAAAUUCAUGCAAGGAAUUUCUGUGGAGUCCAUACGAACAGCGGAUGGGAAAUGGCUCACACCCCCUGAAUUUGAAAUCCUGGGAGGCUAUGAAAAGUCAAAGAACUGGAGAUUGAGUGUGCGCUGCUACACUAGGACCCUGAAAUUUCUGAUCGAGAAAAAAUUUCUACCUAACCCUUCAAGAAAACGUGGCAGGACCUAAAAUAUGCCAUGUGACCAGCAGCCUCAGCCUCCUAUUACCAUGCCUUCUCUUCCGUAAUGGGCUAUACCUUCAAACCAGGAGCCAAAAUAAACUGUUCCUCUCUUACUUCACUUUUGGUCAGAUGUAGGCUGACUCUGCACCUGAUUGGACAUGUGAACAGCCCCAUCUCUUUGGUACCACCUAUACAACACAAACUGAUGAAUUACCUUCUUUCGGAAUAAAAAAGGAAUUAGGGUGAACUGAGACUGUAGAAGCUUAUGAGCAAAUUAAAAUCACAUCAGGAAAACUAGGCCUAAGAUAUCAGACACAACAGUCUGACGGAAGCCUGUGACUUCUCAUCCAUGCCCUAAAAAGAGGACACCUAGCAUGGUGAUGGCGAUGGCCACCAACGUAUCAUCUAACCAUUUGGUCUGUUCAUCAAGAGACCGUGUCCUGGACUCCCUCUGUAGACCAGGCUGGCCUCAGAUUCACAGAGAUCUGCCCGCCUCUGCUCCUGAGGGUGCACCACCACUGCCCCACUAAACUACAAACUUUAAGGUCCUGUGUGUUAUAUUCUAUAAGGAUGACUGACUGGUUGGAAUUCGCAUGAUGAUGGAGAGCUGUAGUGUUCCAAGUCUAGGGAAACCUUACCUUGGACCAUCUUAGACCUUCUUCAGGGCCAUGCAUCACCCACCUCUGUGUUUGACCUAAUAGCCCAUGACUAUGAGGUAAAGGUUUUUGGAAUACACUGACAAUGCCCUCGCUUCCUCCAGCCUGAAGAAUGUCAUGAGAUAGCCUCUGGGAGAAGUCUAUAGGAGAAGCUUCACUUGGCUGUAGCCACCGCCCCACAACGUGUUGAAAAACUGCCUUCAUUUAUGACUUUAUUCUGUUUCCUUGCCGUAAAAAAAAAAAAAAAAAAAAAUUCACGAAACUGUUGCCACAUGGGAACAUGAGAUUUUGGGGUGACCUGAGCCUGUGCUCCCAGUUUGUUCAAGCUUGGUUGUUUUUUGUUUUUUGUUUUUUGUUUUUUGUUUUUUGUUUUUUGUUUUUCAACAGCGAACUUUUCAAUCAAAGUCCUACACCAGUGGUCCACAGCCUGUGGCCUGUGACCCUUUCACAGGGGUCACCUAAGACCAUUGGACAACACAGACAUUUACGUUAUGAUUCAUAACAUCAGCAAAAUUACAGUUAUGAAGUAGCAGCGAGCUGGAGAGACGGCUCAGGGGUUAAGAGCACUGUCUGCUCUUCCAUGGGUCUUGAGUUCAAUUCCCAGCAACCAAGUGGUGGCUCACAACCAUCUAUAAUGAAGUAGCAGCGAAAAUAAUCUAAUGGCUGGGGGUCAGCACAACAUGAGGAGCCGUAUUAAAGGCUUGCAGCGUCAUGAAGACUGAGAACCAGUGCCCUACACAAAGGCUGGGUUCAAUGGCAACAACACACAUGCCUUUAAUCCCAUCACUCUGGAGGCAGAGGCAGAUGGAUCUCUGUGAGUUUGAGGCCUGCCUGGUCUACAAAGAAAGUCCAGUUCAAGGUUAUACAGGAGGGGGGAAAAAAGCCUAUCUUGAAAAACAAAACAAAAAAAUUUAAAGAAAAAAAAAUCCUACCCUCAGUCCCUCAGUAUUAGGUUGGGUGUGAUGAUAUAUACCAAUAGUUCUAGCACUUAAAAAGCUGAGGCAGGAGAAACUCAAAUCGAAGGCUAGCCUGGGCUAUAGAGUAAAACUUAAGUAAAUAAAUAAACAUAGAGCUUCCUUCUUUAUUGUCUACUCCCAGGUAUCACACAUACACACACACACACACAUACACACACACAUCCACAACUCUCCUUUGGAAACCUCUACAGAAGUAGAAGGCCAGCCAGGUGGCAGCAGCGCUCACCUUUAAUUCCAGUGCUCUAGAGCAGAGGGAAGUGGACCUCUGAGUUCAAGGCCAGCUUGCUCUACAGAUCGAGUUCCAGGAUAGCCAGGGCUACACAAAGAAACCCUGUCUGGAAAAAAAGAAAAAAAAAAAAAAAAGAAAAAGUUUGAAAGGGAAUCUCCUGUGAGUUAGAACAGCGCUGCACCCUGAACUGGAGGAAUCACCUGAACCACAUCCACAGCUUUGGAGAUGGACGUCCUCGGCUCCUGACCUCAGACCUAUGCAGCAUGGCCAAGCUGAGCUCCACAGCCUUUCUUCUUCUGUGGAGGCAUCCUCACUCAUCUUUAAGGACCACCUCUGAGCGUGGACCCACUGCAUCAGUCCCACCUCUACUUCAGAACCUCUUGUAUGAGUCCACUGUCCCCAGUCCUUUCCUUGCCCAUCUGAACAGAACCCAGUCUGUCUCGCACAGAGCAAGCUCUGUCCGACCAAGCUCUCUCUCUCUCAUAUCCUGUAACCAGCUUCUGAGUGCCAGACACAGGGAGGCUACUGCUGGCCAAAUCCACAGUGGUCAAGCCUUCCUAAAAAUACACAUGUGUACACACACAAAUACACGCACACAGACACACGCUCACCACGGCCAGGGGUACCCCACUGAAAUUCUCAGGCAUUUGGCCCUGUUUGCCAUCCUUCGUUUUGCCUAGAAUCCCAGCCAUCUCCUUCCUACUGUUAGUAUCCUCCUUCCUACUCAAGCAGGCCUCCAAGUACUAGCCUGGGGUAUCCCAUGUCUACCACAGGCCUGCCAGGAUGGGGCUUUAGCCGACUGUGUUUCAAGACUGUACACUCUGCAGAAUGAAAUUCUCCAAACUGUUCUUCUCACCACCAUCCCCAUGCCCCCCUCCACCCCCGCCAGCCCUUCCACCUAAAUCAAUGCAGUUGCAACUGCCAUCAAGGCUGAGCUGCCCAUCCCCCCACCCCUAAACCCAAAUAGCUUCUGGGAACUACUGUUGGUGAGACCAAGCGGGAACAGGUUUCUUCACUUGUCCGAUAUGUUUAACACAUGAAUCAACGUGACACGCCGUUCUGUCAUUGUUCUCAACCGGCCUUUACUGAGUGAGCGCUGGUCCUAAGGACGAUGCCUAAUCCUAAACAGUGUGCGAACAGAUGGUAAAAACAGUCGCCGUCCAACAGAAACUUACUGUUCCGAUUCCGGUUUAAUUAAAUAAUGAGGCAGCACGGGCACCCUGUGUAGCUUUACUUGUUUACUAACUCAGUAAGAAAACCAGGGGCAGUGUGGGAAAUCAAAGCGAGCGUCCUGAUCAGAAAACGCUUCCUGGGGAAGGGAGAUUUGAAUCAAGCCUUUCAAGGGUGAUGUCUAGACUGAAGCAGGGCAGGAGCGGGCAAAGCAGGAAAAAAUAAUGCAGAUUCCAAGCAAACUAAGACAGCCGGGGCUGAGUGGAGCCACACCUGCCACUUUCAGAAGACAAUGAGCCACCAUCUCAGGGUUCAAAGCCGUUUUGUAAGCGAGAAGGAGACGCGCAUGCGUAAAAUUGAGACCAGUACCAGCCUGAAGUGGAGACCAGAUGAGAUGCCCCACCCUCCUGCCCUGGGCUGACAUUCACCGGCCUGUAGACAGGCAGCUCAGCAAAACGGGACGGGCUGUGUAGACACCACCAGAGCAAGCGACUUAGCACACUGUGUGUGAGUGGAGUUGGAAAUCCCCAGGAUAAAGGAAGGAAGGCUUUGUUGCUCUUAUUAUGAGACCUCAGGAAGAUCAGCGACUUCUGGGGCCUUGAUUUGCAUUCCAUCUCAGAGACGCAUUUGCAUAUCAAGAGCUCUGACAAUCAGACCCAAAUAAUCAGCCUCAUCUAGUAACCUACUUAGUGGAGUUCUUGGGGGCCUUGUCCUUUUUCUGAAAAUUUAUAAUAAGGAACACCUGCUGCCUUCCAGCCCAAAGCUUCAGAUUUGAAGUAAGACUUUGGAGCCAAAAGACUUUACUGAAUUCUUAUAUGUACAAACAUAAAUUCCCUGACAAAAUCAGGACCAGCCACUCUUCUGCAAAAGUCCCACUGGCCAGCUGGCCAGCGAUGUCUGUCUAAAUGACAUAAAGAACUGAAAGACUGAGUGUGUAGCUCAGGCAGUAGACCUCUUGUCAAGUAGACACAACGUCCUGAGCUCCAUCCCCUGUGUUACACAAAAUACGCACUUGUAACCCCAGCACCUGGGAGAUGGAGGCAGGAAGAUCUUAUGUUCAAGGUUGUCCUCAACUACCCAGCAAGAUGGAAGCAAGCCUGGGUAAAGUGAAAUUCUGUGUCCACAAACAAACAAUAACAACAGCAAAAAACAAAAACAAAAACAGUCAACUAGCAAAUGCAUCUCCAAAUGGCCUCUAAGUCAGCAUACUGCAGAAAUGCCUGUGCCCCUGUGUUGAUUUAAAACAGCCAAGAUACUGGAUGGAGAGGGAGCAUGGAUCGCUAUAGUGAGCAUCUAGAGGUGUGGCUCAGAGCACCUGUCCUGGUACAUGGCCACCAGCACCUUCCACCUAGGUGCCCACCAAUCAGCUAAGGGGUGGAUAAAGAAAUGCCUGCAAUGGGCAGGAUUCCACCGCAGGUAUGUCAGAGGAACUGGAGUAGCUGACAUAGGCCCUUCCACAGAUGGCAGCCCCUGCUUUGGUCUCUUUACAACAUCGCUCCCUCUCUCUCCUGACAGAGGUUUGGUUUGGUUUGGUUCCAUUUUCUGAGACAGUUGUGUAGCCCUGGCUGUCCUGGAACUCACUUUGUAGACCACUGGCCUCCAACUAAGAGAUCCACCUGCCUCUGCAUCCCAAGUGCUGGGAUUAAAGGAGCACACCACCACCACUCAGCACUUUUGGCUAUUUUAGAUGCUAUAAAUACAGCAUCCAACAAGGCAGACAAGGUCUUCUCUCUGGUGGCAUUUCCCCUCCAGCAUGGUGGAUACGUUAACAGGAACAUGACCAUGGUCCUUUAACCUCCUGCCUCAUCUCCUCCUCUACAUGGAUUCUCUUACUGACACUGCUGCGCCUUAAGUGGUCAGCUCAGGGCAUUUCAAUCCUUUUGGCAAGUACAACUUUCAAAAUGACACGAAAAUGCCAGUUCAGCUCAGUGAGAGGACUCCAGAAGGGUCUGGUCAGCGCUGAAAAUAUUAGAGCUGAAAUCCAGCUUCAAGUAGAAAUCAAAAUUAGACUUCGGUGCUGGACCAGACCGGAGACACCUUCACCUUACCUCACCACCAGGGAUCCUUUCUGCGGGUCCAACCGCUAGUGAGUUAUGUUUUCCAGGAAGAGCUGUUGGAAACAGCAGCAAGUCCUAGGAAGAACUUCCAAAGGCCAGUGCCUCACAGUUGGAACCCAGUUCCCUGAGCCAUCAGGUUUGAGGGCCACUUCCGACAUCUGAGAAAAGCCAGGGCGUUUCCUCAAAGAACGCUCCGCACCUUCUGUCCCAGGAAGCGGAGGAACUCGAGCCGCUCCUUCACUCCUGUGUGCAGGCGACCGUCUGAUGAUGCUCAUGGCUUCCAUGUCCUUUUCUGGCUCCGGAAAUGUGUCUCUGGAGAAAGCUGAAAUGGCUUCCCCACACUAUUACAGGGGAAAUUCACACCACUGGCCCUGGUGGUUUUAAAGCCCUGUUGCACACAGAAACAACUGCAGUGUUUUAACAGGGGCGAGAGAGAAAGGCAGUUAGGAGCUUCUGUAAGGCUCGGCCAAUACUUCCGGUUUGCCAACACCUCUGCCUGAAGCCCACAAGCGUUCGUUACCAGCUCUUCCGCAGAUGUAUCGCCUUUCUCUUUGAAGUUGUUCAAGUAACAUGCUUGUCCAAAAAUGUAAAAUAAAAGAUGAUAAGCAUUUUUCCUUAACGAUAACCAUUCUCCCCCUAGAGUCCUAUUUAAGAAUGAGCACUGAGGGCGCGUGACAUACAUCCUGUGGUCUUUUUUUUUUUUUUUUUUAAGGAAUCUCAGCAUCCUUUGCAUUCCACUCAGUGAACACCCGGGGCUCUUGCUGUAAUUUUCUCAUCCCCCCAUCGCCAGUAAAAGAAACAUUAUUUGUUUGGGGGACCAGAACGUACUAGACCUAAGCCAAUCUAUACACUGUUAAAACACAGAUGAUUGGUCAGAUACAGUCACGUAUGCCUGUGAUCCCAGGAGGCUGAGGAAGAGUGCGGGCAGUCAUGGAGUUGGCCUGCUCUAGUUGCCUUAAGGGACAUGUGUCAUAGUUUGUUCAGGUUGGAGUCUGUGGCCCCUGGGGCUCUGUGUGCCUUUCACAACUGAGGCACUCCCUGGGUAAUGAAGCAUCCAGGCUACCUCUGUUUCUCUGUUGUAGUUAUUUGAAUAGGAAUGGCCUCCAUGAACUCAGCUGAAUGCUUGGCCCGUAGAGAGCGGCACUAUUAGGAGGCGUGGCCUUGCUGGAGUAGGUGUGGCCUUGCUGGAGGAAGUGUAUUACUUUGAGGUCUCCUUGGCUCAAGCUACCCUCAGUGUGACAGGGUCUCUCCUUGCUACCUUUGGAUCAAGAUACAGAACUCUCAGCUUCUUCUCCUUCACCAUGUCUGUCUGUCUGUCUGCAUGUUGCCAUGUUUCCCGCCAUGAUGAUAACCUCUGAACUGUAAGCCAGCCCCAAUUAAAUGGUUUCCUUUAUAAGAGUUGCCAUGGUCAUGAUGUCUCUUCAUAGAAAUAAAACGCUAAAUAAGACAUUUCUGCCCCUUAGAAGUCAACAAACAAUAUAGAAACUUGACAGGACAAUUGUUCCUAGACAUUAAUCUUGUGUACCCUGUAUACUGUGCAAACAUCAUUGUAUCUUAGCAACCACCAUUGUAUUCUUCCUCUCAAGUGCCUUUAUGUUUUGUUUCUGAUAAGCAUAUAAGGAGUCUGAUUACUUGCAAUAAACUUAUGACAGCCUCAGUCUUGCUGUGACC